ACACCGCCGCCGUGGUUACCGCGCCUGCGCGUUGGGGCCCCGUCGGCCGCGGGCGGGGUGAGGACAGCGUCAGAAGCUACGCGACUGGGAGGGGCUGGAGGAAGAGGUGGCGGCGUUGAGCCCUUCCAGACUAGGCCGGCGUUGGGUGGAAUAGGCAGCCGCUGGAAGGCCCGCACGCCGCCCUCGGCCCGCCGCGGCGCGCAGACCCGGGCGUGCGGACAUGCGCGCUAGGGCCGGUGUCGCCGGGCUGCCGCCUGAGCCGCGCUGCGCGUGCGCAGGGCAGCGUGGCCGUCACCGCCGCCGGUGGAAGUUUCCGAGCAGCCGGGCGGGGGCAGCGGACGCCACCGCAGGCGCUUCCCCCGCCGGCCGGCCCUCCCUCCUGACGUAAGGGCGGGCCCCGGUCGCAGAUCCCGCCCCAGGUCUCUCAUGCGAGGGUCCGUGCAGCAGGUCACGCUGCGCUCUCUGGGGUCCGCGCGUCGGCCCACGUGCUCCCUGCACCUCGCGGGGUGAGCGGCCAGCGUGCCGUGCCGGGUGGCUGGCUCCGCCGCUCCGGAGCCGGGAAGGACGCGCGGCGGAGUCCUGCUCCCUAGCGGGUCUGCUUACAGGCGUUUGGUUUGCUUUUUAAAAUGAUUUUCUAUGCGAAAAGUGAAGUGAAAACUUCCAAGUUAAUUCCCUGGGCAAAAUGGGCAGUGCUAGCCGAGGAACGGCUGGUGGGCGGCGCGUCCGGCCCCCGGCUUCGGUUUUUCCAGCUGCACCGAGCGGGCAGGAGUCAGUGGGAAACCGCCCGCCAUCCACAGCCUGCCUUUUGCCAUCCCGGUGUCCCGAGCGCGAUGGAAGCCGGGUUGACAGUGGCACUGUUUGGAAUACAGCGCCAACCACACAUCCUGUGAGGUCCAAAGCAAACGCCAGUGUCGUUGAUCAUCGCGGUGCCCCGCGAGCCUGGGCGACAUGAGGCCCCGCGGCUGCCGCCCUGUCUUCAGGCGGAGUCCCCGCAAAUGCACUCCCGGUCUAGGGCCCUGAAGCUGCCUUAGCCCAGUGGCGCCCGGGCUCCAAGCCUUUUAAGUAGGACGGGACCUGGCCUUCGUACAGGAGUGUUGUAAAUGCUAACCCCUCGUCUCCAGCGCAGAUGAGUAGACAUUACUAAGCACUUGACCCUCCAAACAUCGCUCCAACAGGAAAGGUCCGUGUGUUGCAUACAAAGGCUUUGGGGCAAGUGGUGGUGUUUAGUAAUAAAAAUGAAUGUUUCAGACGUUUUCAAAUACCUUCAUAUUGUACACGUGGAAAUCAUGACCAAGGAUUAGAACGUGCAUUCAGUAAACUACAGAAAAUCACACACAAGUCAAACAGCCGUUAUUCUGGAGCUAUUUGCUUCCAAUGGCUCAGUCCAAAAUCCUUGGUCAUGCCUGGCUCCUCUCUCUGUCCACAAUGAACACAUCCUCUUGGCUCCACUGCCCGAAACAUCCAGAACCCAACUGCUACCCCUCCUCCUCCCUCCACCCCUCUUUACUCUCCUUCCCGCCACCCGUCCAUUUUAAAGCAGUGCCUUCUAGCUGGUUUCCCACAUUCUGCACAGCUGCUCGUGUGAUCCUUUUUAAAAAAGAAAAAAGAUGUUACUAUUAAAAAUCAUCUCAUGCCAGUCUUAGAAUACUAUGCAGCCGUAAAAAGGAAUGAGAUCAUGUCCUUUAUGGGGACAUGAAUGGAGGUGGAAGCCACUAUCCUCAGCAAACUAACACAGGAACAGAAAACCAAACACCGCAUGUUCUCAGUAAUAAGUGGGAGCUGAACAAUGAGAACGCAUCAACACAGGGAGGGGAACAACACACACCGGGACCUGUUGGGGGUUAGGGGAAGGGAGAGCAUCAGGAUAAAUAGCUAAUGCAUGCAGGGCUUAAUGCCUAGGUGAUGGGUUCACAAGUGCAGCAAACCACCAUGGCACACAUUUACCUAUGUAACAAACCUGCACGUCUUGCACGUGUAUCCCAGAAUUUAAAGUUGACAUUUCAAAAAAUUCAGUCCAUGCCACUCUUCUGCUCAAAACCCUCCAGUGGCUUUCUCAUUCAGCAAAAUGGAACAACCUUGCUAUGACCUGCAAGUCCCUUAUCCCCUGGUCCUUCCCCUCUUCCCCUGCCCUCACCUCCCAGCGCUUUCCCUAACCCAAACAAUACCAGCCAAAAGCACAGCUGGCACACUCCUGCCUCAGGGCCUUUGCACUUGCUGUUCCAUCUGCCUGACAUGCGUUCCCUCCUCCCCAUCUUAGUGAGGACGUCCAAGUGGCUCUUUAGUCUAAACUGCAAACAUAACCCUCAGCAUCCCGUUUCCCUUCCCCGUUUGCUUUUUCUCCCUUAGUUUCCUGGAGCUGAGUAACAAAAUGUCACAAACUGGGUGGCUUAAAACAACAAACGCAUGCUCUCACAGUCCUAGAGGCUGAACGUCCAAAAUCAAGUUGUCAGCAAGGUCGUGUAUCCUCUGAAGGCUGUAAGGGAGUCUGCCCCAUGCUCUCCUCUCAGCUUCUGGUGUUGCUGGCAAACUGUGGCAUUCCUUGGCUUGUUGGUGCAUCACCCCACUCUCUGACACGUCAUCGCAUGAUGUUUCCCUGUGUCCUUGAUUUGUGGAUGCAUCGCUCCACUCUCUGUCCUCAUCAUCGCAUGGCAUUUUCCCUGUGUCCAUGUCUCUUCUCAGAAAGACACCAGUGGCAUUGGAUUAGGGCCACCCUAGUGUCUUCCUCCUGAUUACAUCUGCAAAGAGUUUCCAAAUAAGGUCAUAUUCGCAGGCACCCAGGGUUGGGACUUGAACAUAUCUUUUUGGGGGACACUAUACCACGUCAUGUAUAUUUUAUCUCAUUUAUCAUUUGUGUCCCCCACCCCAUUAGAAUGCACGCUCCGUGAAGAGAGGAUAGGAAUGGCCUGUCCCUGCUGUGCACCAGCUCAAGGAUUGUCUGACACAUCAGUCCUUGGUGAACAUUGGCAGAAUGACUGGCAGCUGAUUGAUUGGCCCAGCAGGAAUGGACACGGGCAGUUGCCCUUGUCCAGCUUCCAGGAUCUGUUACACAGGCCUAAGGCAACAACCAGAAGCCUUCCUGGGUGUUUACAUUACAGCACACCAGACUGCAGACACCGCCGCCCCAGACACUGCUUGCAGCUAAAGUCACCAAGUUUGCCGUGCCCCAUAACUGAGGUCAUUGGCAGCCCAGCACCAAGCCUCACUGGCAUCAAGGGCAGCGGGUUAGUAAGCAUGGCUCCACACGGGUAAGCAGUUCUAGGAAAUGGGAAGAAACCCAGACCAUCCAUCUCAGGGUAAGUUUGCUGGAUUUUCUCUCUGUUUUAAGAGUCUUUCAACAGGGCAUACAGCCCAUUCUCAAAUUUAGAUUUCUGUUUUUGUUAAGAACAGGGACUGUGGAACGAAUUUGCCUGACUUUGCCGUCAUUCUGCCAUUUCCUAGCUAUGUGGCCUCAGGCAAACUGAUUAAACUUACUGGCCUCAGAAUGGGGAAAAUUGUUGUAACUCAUGCUUGGGAUUACGUGAAGAUGAAAAGUAGGCGUGUCCAUGAAGUGCUUACAAGAGGGACCAGCGCGGUGUACCUAUUCUGUGCAUCCUACCCAUCCACUGUUCCUUCUCCGUGGUUCUUGAAGAAGCUGGAGUUUUCUUUCAGUCUUCUGCUUCUCCUGUUGCUUCCUCUAACUGAAGGAAGAAUCAGUCCAUGGCUUCUGCUCCAUGCUUUCUGCUCUUGGUUCGGGCUCCAACUUCCCCAUUAAUGGAAGAGAAUGGCUCUCCUGUUCCCAGCUGUAAUGAACUAAUUAAUUUUUCUAUUUCCCUAAUCAUUCUCUAUUCCCUGCCAAACCCUCUGGGUGUCUGUUUUGUUCUAUUGUUCAAGCCUGGACUUUGAGGGUAGGCUGGGGGCAUUGCUAGUCCCCAUAAUUGCUAAUCCAGGCACUUGAGUCAUUAUCUUCUAUACAUCACACUUAACAACCAGAGGGAAGUGCAGCCUCGUGGGCCUCGGAAAGGAAACCACCCACAGACUUGUGCGCCUUCUUCGCAGGCCAGGCUUUCCUUCCCCCAUGGUAAGAAGGUGAAGACUUGGAGAUUGGUGAGUCAGGCAAUCAAGGUCAGAUUGACAUACUCUAGAAGAUUACAUGCCGUGUGGAACAGUACUGGGCAGGGGACCCACUGGGACAGGGGCUCAGUUAGGAGGCUAUGGCAGUCCCGCAGGAGAUUCUGGAGGUGGGGGUUGAAUGGGGAGCAGCGUAGAUUUGGAUACAGCAUGGAUUUUGAAGUAGAGCCAGCCAUGGGGAGCGAGUGGGGAGGGAGGCAAAGAGUGAACAAAGCAUCCGUUCGGGUCGGUGGCCUCAGCCAUGGAUGAAAGUCUUAUUUCCUGAGAUGGGGGACACUGGAUGGAGCAGGAAGCAUCCCUCUUUAGGAAAUGCUAGGUUGGAGAUGUCCCUCUUAUAUCCCCAGGAGACAGCUGGACACAGAGGCUUGCAUUUAGAAGACAAGCCAGUCUGGAAAGGGCCGUCACGGAGCAAGCCCUGCCUGGCUGGCGUGUAGCAGAGCUGCAUGGGGUGAGCUCACCCGGGCGGGGACGGGUGUGGAAAGCACAGAGAAGCAGGUUAGCUCUUGUUCAUGUAUGCUGCAGUAACAGACAUCCCCAGGACCUCAGCGGCUCAUAGGAACCACAUGGCACACAUUGGUGGUGGCUCUCCUCCCAGGCAGUACCCCACAUCUUGUCUUCUGUGUUUGGGCACCCAGGCUGGAGUAGCAACCCAUCUCAGUCAAUGGCGAAGGAAGCAGGAAUGGGAGGUUCUAAUACCAUCUCACUCAUCCUUUGGACCAAGGACACCUCUCCCAUGCACUAUGCCCCAUGCCUCUCUCUCACUAUGGCCCAGUCCACGCAUGGAGGUCCCAGUUGGUGCUCAGGUUCUAGUGUUGUCACCACCUUGCUGGCACUCUUACCCCGGCCACCCCGAACCCCUUCAGACCCUCGGCUGCAGCCUGCUUCCACGCUGCAGAGCCUGAGCACUGCCCUCUCUGUCUGGGAAAGCUGUCCGUGAGCCGCUCAAGCCCCCGCCCCCAACUUUCUGUCAACCCUGGAAUCUGGCUCAGCUGUCCUCGGGGAGGCCCUCUCUUGUGUCUCUGGUCCUUUGACACAUGGUCAGUUCAUUGCAGGUUUACUCACUUAUGUCCUUGUGUUAGCUGCCUGUACCUGGGGACAGCAACGAUGCCAACUCUGUCCACUCUUGUAUGGAAAAGCUCAGCAGAGGGCCUGGCAGACAGCUGUGUCCAAUGCAUAGUUGUUGACUGAAUAAAAACAAAGCCGCUGACUCUCCCUAAUCCUAGACCCUCAUCUCCAGACCAGCCUGACUUUUAGCCACUCACUCACUUGCUGAAGCCUGGAACCUACCAGAGCUGGUUUGCCCAUAGGCCCUGCGCAAGCCUCGGGCUGCCUUGUGUUUGACCUGUGCCCCAGGGUGCAGUGUUUCCUGGGCACUCCCCUAACAUCACCUUUGCCUCUCCCGGCGCAGUGCCAGCCUUUCAGACCCAGGUCCAACCAAAACCUCUGUAAAGCUUUCCUGGCCGCAUCAACCUUAAAGUAAUGAAAUUAGGAGAGAGAAAUUUGUAACAAUUGUGAAAAUUACUGUGGUGAUUGUGAAAAUGAAUAAUAGGGCUUUUCUUAUUGCCUUGAA